rnacentral:rRNA from 1 species
CCCUACGGGGCGCAGCAGUAGGGAAUCUUCCACAAUGGACGAACGUCUGAUGGAGCAACGCCGCGUGAGUGAAGAAGGGUUUCGGCUCGUAAAGCUCUGUUGGUAGUGAAGGAAGAUAGAGGUAGUAACUGGCCUUUAUUUGAUGGUAAUUACUUAGAAAGUCACGGCUAACUACGUGCCAGCAGCCGCGGUAAUACGUAGGUGGCAAGCGAUGUCUGGAUUUAUUUGGCG